rnacentral:rRNA from 1 species
GCAUGGCUGUCGUCAGCUCGUGUUGUGAAAUGUUGGGUUAAGUCCCGCAACGAGCGCAACCCUUAUCCUUUGUUGCCAGCACGUAAUGGUGGGAACUCAAAGGAGACUGCCGGUGAUAAACCGGAGGAAGGUGGGGAUGACGUCAAGUCAUCAUGGCCCUUACGAGUAGGGCUACACACGUGCUACAAUGGCAGAUACAAAGAGAAGCGACCUCGCGAGAGCAAGCGGAACUCAUAAAGUCUGUCGUAGUCCGGAUUGGAGUCUGCAACUCGACUCCAUGAAGUCGGAAUCGCUAGUAAUCGUAGAUCAGAAUGCUACGGUGAAUACGUUCCCGGGCCUUGUACACACCGCCCGUCACACCAUGGGAGUGGGUUGCAAAAGAAGUAGGUAGCUUAACCUUCGGGAGGGCGCUUACCACUUUGUGAUUCAUGACUGGGGUGAAGUCGUAACAAGGUAACCGUAGGGGAACCUGCGGUUGGAUCACCUCCUUAC